UACGUAAGGGGCGAGCGUUGUUCGGAUUCACUGGGCGUAAAGGGUGCCUAGGCGGCAUGUUAAGUCGGAAGUGAAAUCCCCCGGUCCAACUGGGGAACUGCUUUCGAAACUGGCGUGCUUGAGUUCGGGAGAGGAGAGCGGAAUUCUCGGUGUAGCGGUGGAAUGCGUAGAUAUCGAGAAGAACACUCGUGGCGAAGGCGGCUCUCUGGAACGAUACUGACGCUGAAGCACGAAAGCCAGGGGAGCAAACGGG
rnacentral:rRNA from 1 species